ACCAGGCUCAUUGCUGCAGUCCUGCUGGCUCUUUGGGAGCUCCUUGCUGGAGGUGCACGUGACUGGCACCCUAACCCAUGCAACAGAGCAGCCCCAACAUCACUUCUUGAUAACAAGGAUCCAUUACAUGAAGGCAGCUGAUGAGGAAGACUGUGCUCAGCUGAGAUACCGGUGCUGCUGGGUCCUCUCAGGGGAAAUCUGCUCUGACACAUGUAAAAAGCAAGGUCUGAAGUGAUUUCAGAACUGUUCCCUGAGGGGUUUGGUUGCUGUCCUACACAUGGGAAAAUAACUGCUGGAUUGGGACUUUGCCAUGACCUGGCAGCACCCAUGGGACUCCUGCACGCUGCUGUGAUCUAAUCCUCAUGAAGUCUGACCCUUCCUUUCAAAUGAAGGCUAAUCCAUCACUCCCUGAUUGUGAAGAGCAUUAGCGGCUGACAAAUGCGGUGUUUACGGUGGCAAUAACAGCCUGAUUGAUGGCUGGGGCUGGGGAACUGCAGCUGGCAACUCUCCUGGUGACCAGCUGGUGGGGCAGGGACAGAGCUGCCAUGUCGAGCAUUUCCAAAGGCAUCCAUCUGGCUGGGCGGUCAUGAAAGUAUUCAUCAUAGGGGUGUCUAGACACCCACUCCACUGUGGGAAAUUCAGUGCAAGGAGACUUUACAUCGGAUUUCACUGCUUCAAAAUGCUAUUGAUUUUACUUGAAGAAGACGACCGAAUGUUUUGAAAGUUUUAAUAAGUUCACCUUUAAAAAAAAAAAAAAAAUGUUAUACCUGUUUUCUGAAGCUGGAAACUUUGGUCGUUUCAGAUGGGGUUUUAGUUACAAAACAUCCUAAGCAUCCUUAUCGUGAACAAAGCUUAAGCAUGAGUUUAACAUAUAGAAUUCGAUAGGCUUCAACAAGGGAAAAAGGCUUCCAGUUUAAAAAACCACAACUCUGUUGGGUUGUGAACUUCCACAGGCUGAAUACUUUCCAGAAUGAAGACCUAUGUUCUGAAAAUCAAACCUACCGAGUGACUUAAUACAACCAUAAAAUCUCUGCCUUUUCUACCCCUUGACUUCAUGGAGUUACAGUUUAGCUGUAAGCUUUUAUUGUGUGUUUUGCUUUGGUGUGUGUGCACUUGCUAAAUUGUAUUAUUGAAAGUAAUAUAACACAACUGAAAAGGGAUAAUACACCAGGGCUGUAUGUAUUUAAUGAAGACCCAAAGGCCACGAAGAAAUAAUUUUGACCCAACCAUGCCCCUGAAUAUUGAGUUUUGCCCGAGAGUAAAGAUAGAUUUGAAACAUAAUUCCGGAGCAUCUGUUCUGCUGCCAUCCAGCUGCUGGCAAAGAGGCUUCUUUAACAAAUAAAACAGAAUAUGAGAUGGGUGAAAGCAGAGGGCAAGAGUGAGGAGGAGGCUGUCUGAGGACAGGCCUCCAUCUGCAGGUCCUGUGGCAGCUCUGAUGGCUCCUCCUCAAGGGCAGGAGAGACCUUCUCAAAGAAAACACGUCGAAGCUGUGGACCAAAGGUUCUUACUGGUUUGAACUGCUUUGGAAAUAUAACAGUGCUGAUGAGCAGGGGAUUGUGACAACACCUCCCAGGAGCCAAGGUGUGAAUGUUCAAAGAUAUUGGUUUUUAAGCAGCAGAAACAUUUUUGUCUGAGAAACAGAAAAUAAAUGAGAACCACAAGAUAGGACAUUUAUGCAAGGCACCUAAUGUGGAAACUGUUUAUGAAGAGGAAAACCCACCAGUCAAACUAAAAGGAGGGAAAUAUGAGAGCGCCACAGGGCCUAAGCCAGGUUUUAACUAUUGGAGAGCAAGAUGGGUCAUGCGAGUCGUUCUCUGGAGGGGAAUUAUCUCACUUUAGUAAGUGAAGAUGUUAUAAAAAAUAAAAAGAAGAAUCAGAUUUAUGUAGAAAACCUCAGUGUCCACUGGAAAAAGUGGACCUCACCUCAGAAUCAAAGAUGACGUGGAGGCACAACAGCGUGUAACAUCUGUGCAACGUGAGCCAGUGCUGGUAUGGGACCAUUGCUUCAUGUCCAUGGUGUAACAGGUUAUUCUUGUUGGUGAGAAAUAUUAGGAGUUUAAUGCAAUUUAACUCUUUUGGGGCAUUCUGAUAAACAUUCAGAAAUAUGGUAUAUUUUAACAAAAACUGAAAAAAAUAAAAGCACCACAGGAAAAAACUUUUCUGAACAGCUCUAGUGCCUAGCUGGCUCAAGCUCAGAUAAAUAUUAGGAAGUCCCAAAGAGAUUAAUAUAGUGUGAGAUCUCUGUGUUUGAGGGCACCAUGAGGACUUGCAGGUCAGAGAAAUCAGAACUCCCAGAUUGGUUUGUAACCCAAAUACCUCCUGGUCCAUCAAAUCCUCUUGUGCGUUGCGUGUUGCCACACGGGAUCCCCAAAAGGCUUGUACUGACUUACCCAUAAGCGAUUAUUUUGUUUCCUAAAGACAUGUUUGUUCAACUUUGUCCCUUAAACAAGAACAAAACACUCUGCAUAAUUCAGCAUCAUAAGAACAAUGAAUUAAUUAAGAGGUGUUGGAUGGAUUAAGUCAUGUGUAAGGCCUGGUGUUAUAAGACAAUAGUUAAACAACCCGUUGUAUUACUGUAAUCAGAGUUAUAGAAAUUACAGUAAAGGAGCACCAAAAGGUAAUUUCCAGUUUGGCUAAACCCUCUCUGAUUCCCUCUGGCCAAAAUUCAAUGCCCCUAUAGAAAUCUCUAAUCCUCACACAGAACACUGAAGCUUUUUACACAAGCUCAUUUACUGCUGAGAGCUUCAUCUUGGCUUCAGCUGAGCUGAUAAGUAGGCACAGAAAGACUUUCAGAUUAGGAAGACAAAUAAAUAUUUGAAAAUGAUUAAACUAAAAGAAGGUUCAAUUGUAUAAUGUUCCAGGGCUGAUUUAGGUACAUGAAAUCGAGAAACAGAAAGUGAAUACAGCGAUCCCUGGGUCUGCAGAAGCUGAUACACGUGAUGUGGGAUCACCUCCUGGUACAAGAAGAAGGUUGAUUUAAACAUCUUCAGUUUGCUUGAAUUGGCAUCAUUGUACUGAGCCAAAGAUGGUAGAGUAAAUCUAGAGUAAACCAGUUGAGAUCUGCCACUGAUCAGUACAUUUUGUCGUUCUUUCUUGCUCUCCUGAGUAUAUUCUACAUAUGCAUACAGUGACAACUGACCCUGAGACAAAAAAAAAGUAACCUGUUGUAGGAAGAACUUGUGUUUAAUACAAGAUAGA